GUGGGGCACCGUGGGGUCAUGGUGGGACUCAAUGGGGUCAAUGGGUCCCAAUGGGGUCAAUGGGGUCGUGUGGGGUCAAUGGGACCCCAUGGGGUCAAUGGGGUCAUGGUCUGUCCCAAAGGGGUCAAUGGGCCCCAGUGGGGUCAAUGGGGUCCUGGUGAAUCCCAAUGGGGUCAGUGGGUCCCAAUGGGGUCAAUGGGUCCCAGUGGGGGUCAGUGGGUCCCAAUGGGGUCAGUGGGUCCCAGUGGGGUCAAUGGGGUCCUGGUGCAUCCCAAUGGGGUCAAUGGGGCCCAAUGGGGUCAAUGGGGCCCAAUGGGGGUCAGUGGGUCCCAGUGGGGUCAAUGGGGUACUGGUGCAUCCCAAUGGGGUCAGUGGGUCCCAGUGGGGUCAAUGGGGUCCUGGUGCAUCCCAAUGGGGUCAAUGGGGCCCAAUGGGGUCAAUGGGGCCCAAUGGGGGUCAGUGGGUCCCAAUGGGGUCAAUGGGG